rnacentral:tRNA from 1 species
GCCGACGUAGCUCAGCGGCCAGAGCAGUUGUUUUGUAAACAACGGGCCGGGGGUUCGACUCCCUCCGUCGGCU